rnacentral:rRNA from 1 species
GAUGAACGCUGGCGGCGUGCUUAACACAUGCAAGUCGAACGGAGUUUCUUGGAUAGAGGUUUCGGCCAAUUGAAUUGAAACUUAGUGGCGGACUGGUGAGUAACGCGUGAGGAACCUGCCUUUCAGAGGGGGACAACAGUUGGAAACGACUGCUAAUACCGCAUGACACAUUCGAGUGGCAUCACUUGAAUGUUAAAGAUUUUAUCGCUGAAAGAUGGCCUCGCGUCUGAUUAGCUAGUUGGUGAGGUAACGGCUCACCAAGGCGACGAUCAGUAGCCGGACUGAGAGGUUGAUCGGCCACAUUGGGACUGAGAUACGGCCCAGACUCCUACGGGAGGCAGCAGUGGGGAAUAUUGGGCAAUGGACGCAAGUCUGACCCAGCAACGCCGCGUGAAGGAAGAAGGCUUUCGGGUUGUAAACUUCUUUUAAGUGGGAAGAGUAGAAGACGGUACCACUUGAAUAAGCCACGGCUAACUACGUGCCAGCAGCCGCAGUAAAAC